rnacentral:rRNA from 1 species
GCCGUUUGGGAAAUUAUUUGUAUUGGCUUGCAAGGUGAAUUUUUAGAUGGGAGAGAACCGAACCGUGAAGCUAAUGCGCAAGAAUUGAAGAUGUUGCAAUACAACGCUCAAGCUUGUGACAUCAUCUUCAACGGAUUGUGCCCCGAAGAAUUCAACAAAAUCAGCCGUCUUGAGAAUGCAAAGGAAAUUUGGGAUACUUUGAUUGAUAUGCAUGAAGGUACCGAGUCCGUCAAGGAAUCCAAGUUGGAUGUGCUCCAAAGUCAGCUUGACAAGUUCAAAAUGAAGGAUGGUGAAGGUGUCGCUGAGAUGUACUCUAGGCUUGCUCUUAUCACAAAUGAGAUUGCCGGCUUAGGGAGUGAAGAGAUGACCGACAAAUUCAUCAUCAAGAAGAUUCUAAGAGCAUUGGAUGGAAAGUAUGAUACCGUGUGCACAUUGAUUCAAAUGAUGCCAAACUACAAAGAUCUCAAGCCAACGGAAGUCAUUGGAAGGAUUGUUGCUCAUGAGAUGUCACUCAAGGAUAAUGAGGAACUUCACAACAAGUCAAGUGGUGCCUACAAAGCCUCAAGUGAAGCCCCCACAUCAUCAAGUGAGAAACCAACCUUCAAUGAAGAAUUAAGCUUAAUGGUGAAGAACUUCAACAAAUUCUACAAGAGUAGAAGCAAAGAAAGAAGCUCUAAAUCAAGGUCUUACAAUGACAAGAGAUCUUCUAGCCGUGAGCGCAAUUGCUACAAUUGUGGGAGACCCGGACACUACUCCAAUGAGUGUACGACACCCUACAAAAGAAGAGAGAUUCUCCAAGAAGAAGGAGCAAAAGAGAAGAAUCACCACCAAGAGAGAGGAGGAGUAGAGAUGAUCGUUAUGAAC